UGAGGAAUAUUGCGCAAUGGCCGAAAGGCUGACGCAGCGACGCCGCGUGAAGGAUGAAGUCCGUUAGGAUGUAAACUUCUUUUGUGAGGGAUGAAUGUCCCCGUUUACGGGGCUUGACCGUACCUCACGAAUAAGGGUCGGCUAACUACGUGCCAGCAGCCGCGGUAAUACGUAGGACCCGAGCGUUGUCCGGAAUUACUGGGUGUAAAGGGCGUGUAGGUGGGUCUCUCAGUCGGUGGUGAAAUCCUGCGGCUUAACCGCAGAACUGCCGCCGAUACUGGAGGUCUUGAGUACGGCAGAGGGAGAUGGAAUUCAUGGUGUAGCGGUGAAAUGUGUAGAUAUCAUGAAGAACACCAGUUGCGAAGGCGGUCUCCUGGUCCGUUACUGACACUGAGGCGCGAAAGCGUGGGGAGCAAACAGG
rnacentral:rRNA from 1 species